UACGUAGGGCGCAAGCGUUGUCCGGAAUUAUUGGGCGUAAAGAGCUCGUAGGCGGUUUGUCGCGUCUGUCGUGAAAGCCCACGGCUUAACUGUGGGUCUGCGGUGGAUACGGGCAGACUAGAGGCAGGUAGGGGAGAAUGGAAUUCCUGGUGUAGCGGUGAAAUGCGCAGAUAUCAGGAAGAACACCCGUGGCGAAGGCGGCUCUCUGGGACGGUACUGACGCUGAGACGCGAAAGCGUGGGGAGCGAACAGG
rnacentral:rRNA from 1 species